ACAUUAAAUACGUCUAUCUCUAGCUAGAUCAAAAUGGAACAGACUUCCACGGUGGGACCGCCUAUUGAACUCCCCAUCAUCGACAUAU